rnacentral:rRNA from 1 species
UUUUUAUUAAAAAAUAAAAAGAUUAAGAUUAAAAAGGUAAAAUUUUAUUUAAAUUUAUGUAUUUUUAUAAUGAAAAAAUUUAUUUUUUAACUGUAAGGGAAAAAUGAAAAAUUUUAAAAGUUUAAAAGUUUAAAAGUACAUAAAGGUACCUUUUGCAUCAGGGUUUUUAGAAGAAAUUAAAUUAAUUUAAUUUCCCGAAAUUAAAAUGAGCUAUUAAAAUAUUUUAAUUAUGUAGAAAUAUAAUAAAAAAUAUUUUAAUAGAAAUGAAAUUUUAUUCAUAUUUAAGGAUAUCUGGUUAUAAUUUUUUGAUUUUAGAUCAAAAUUAUAUUAAAAAAUUUUUAAACAAUUAUAUAAUUUUAUCUACGGGGGAUAAGCUUGGUGGAUUUCUUUAAUAAUUUAGUAAUAUUUUAAUUAAGGAAUAAAAUUUUCUAAUUCUUUUUAAAAAGAAUUAAAUUUAAUGAAGUAUUAAAAUAAGAUUUUUUUAUGAUUAAAUUAAUUAUUAAUUUAAUAAAAUUAUUAAAAAAUUAGUAAAAUGAAAAAUUAUUUAAUAAUUUUUUUAAAAAUUAUUAAUAAAUGAAAAUUUAUUUAAAAGAAUUCGGCAAAUUGAUUUAAUUGACUGUUUAUCAAAAACAUUUCAUUUUGUAAAUUAAUAAAAUGUAUAAUCUGCUCAAUGAUUUUUUUUAAUUGCUGUGGUAUUUUGACUAUACGAAGGUAUUGAAAUAAGAUUUUAAAUGAGUGCUAAGAGAAUGAUUGAACAAUUAUAGACUUUCUUUAAUUAAAUAAUUAAAUUUAAUUUUUUUGUGCAAAAGCAAAAAUUAAAAUUAGGGACAAGAAGACCCUAUGAAUUUUUAUUUAAUUUAAAGUUUUUAUUUUUAAAUUAAAUUUGAUUGGGGUGAUGAAAAAAGAAUAAGUAUCUUUUUAACAAUUAAAAAUUAGUUCCGAUUUUAACGAUUAUAUGAUAAAAAUACUCUAGGGAUAACAGCGUAAUAAUUUUGGAUAGUUCAUAUAGAUAAAAUAGUUUGCGACCUCGAUGUUGGAUUAGGAUUCUUUUUUGGCGAAGAAGUUAAAAAAAGAAGUUUGUUCAACUUUUAAAUUCCUACAUGAUCUGAGUUCAGACCGGCGUGAGCCAGGUUGGUUUCUAUCUUAAUUAAAAAGUAUAUUUUUAUAGUACGAAAGGAAUUAAAAAUAUAAAAUUUUUUAUUUGAAUUUAAAAGUUUUA